AAAAAAAAGACGAAAAAAA
rnacentral:sRNA from 1 species